rnacentral:lncRNA from 1 species
AUGCAACCACAUAAACACACAUCAGUGCCAACUGCUGAUAUUAGAGACAAAGAGGAUGUCAUGCAAAGACUCAUUUCUGCUGGUGCACGGGUCACAUUGCUGCCCAAGAAUGAUGCUGAGUGUGUUAGUAACAAUAAUAAAAAGUCUCAGAUGAUUGCAUCAAAUGAAGAUGAGGCAUUUUCCAAGAUCAGAGAUUUUAUUGAUGUGGAAACUGCUGCUUUUAAAACACCUGAAGAAGUGUUUACAACUGAUAACAAUAAGAUGCUGUUAGAGAAUCCAGAGUCACAUUUGACCAUAUAUGAAAUUCUCUUUACUGGGAGAGGAAAAGAAAAACAUGGCCAGAGAUGUAUUACAUGGCUAAAGGAAACUGGAAAUGUGAAUACUUACAUUGCAGGUGCAGCCAGUCGUUUUCCAAACAUCCCUAAGACACAUGUAAGGCUGGCAGUUGAAGGUUUAAAUGCAGUUUUCUGUACAAUGGAUGACAUAACAAAUGAGCAUGCAGUAGCUAUAGUUCCACAACUACUGAACCUGCUUGACUCACAAGACAGUGGUGUUUGUGAAGCAGUGCUACAAACACUCUAUGUGAUAACACAGAAAACAAAAGGCACAAAGAGCUGGGACUUUUUAGAGAACUUAUGCAGAACAGUUGCCCCUUUUGUAAAUGAGAAGCACCCCACUAACAUCAGGGUCUACACAUAUAGCAUAGUCGCAAAUCUGAUGUCAGUUGAACAGGCAGCUAAAAUUUUUACAUCAGAGGUUGUAACUUCCGUGCCCAAGGACAUACUGACAUCAGCUGAAAUGAAAAUGAAUCAAAAGCUGAAAGAAGUGCUGAGAAGUCUGAAAAAUUAUUUGAGCAAACCAAACUCAGAAUGUGAGGGAAAUGCAGCAUCGUCUGUGGCCAGGAAUAUGAAGGAAAUGCCGGAAUCAGCUUCAGAUGAAACGCCUUUCAACCAACACGAGUUUCGCAGGACACCAGUGAGCAAGAGGUGGAAGAAGCUCCUGGAUAAACUGGAGCAAGAUGUUCGCAAUGGGAAAAAAAACAGUAAUCAGAAUCGGAAAAUGUUUUUAUGUGAAUGA